AUUGAACGCUGGCGGCAGGCCUAACACAUGCAAGUCGAGCGAGCGGCGGACGUGUGAGUAAUGUCUGGGAAACUGCCUGAUGGAGUGGGAUAACUACUGGAAACGGUAGCUCAUACCGCAUACCAUCAGAUGUGCCCAGAUGGGAGUAGCUAGUAGGUGGGGUAACGGCUCACCUAGGCGACGAUCCCUAGCUGGUCUGCGAGGAUGACCAGUCACACUGGAACUGGGACACGGUCCAGACGCAGACGUGAGGCAGCAGUGGGGAAUAUUGGACAAUGGGAGAAAGCCUGAUCCAACCAUGCCGCGUGUGUGAAGAAGGUCUUCGGAUUGUAAAGCACUUUAAGUUGGGGGGCGUUACAAACAGAAUAAGCACCGGCUAACUUCGUGCCAGCAGCCGCGGUAAUUC
rnacentral:rRNA from 1 species